rnacentral:lncRNA from 1 species
CUGUUUAUUCUAAUAUUGAAAACAAUUUCCCUAUUGUCAAAGCCUCAAAGGUAAAAUGUCUACACUGACUUAAAAAAAUAAAUGCCCCAGGGUUGAGGCCUACAGCAAAUAAGACCAACAAAAUUAAGGGGAAAAUAAAGGGCCUCAGGCCCAAAUCACUAACAUCUAAACCUGAACAAAAUUGAUGAAAAACAACAGUACUGAGGAUCAAAACAGCAUGGCUGCAAGCAAACUAAUGUACGAACACUCUAUCGAUGUGCUAGGCUAGAAAGGCUUUCAGUGAUUUACGCUCAGUUACGCAUCAAAUUAUAAUCACCCUCUUCAUCUGGUAUUUGACAACCGUAAUUUCAAGGCCCUGUGUCGGAGGGCUGACACAUAUAUGCUAAUGGCACGGCCUGGCCUCUAGCUAAGUUGCUCUAGUCCAUGCAUGGUUCAAUGCUUUAUCUUCGUCUCCUCCAAAUAGUCCAAUUCUGGAAUAGAUUCCAAGAUAAAGCAGGACCGGCGGUAGGGUUGAGGCAAGGGGUGGUGAGGAGAGGUGAAGCAGCGAUGGAUUCGUUGGAGAUCGAGAUGAUCAGCACCUUUACAAUGGCGUUGAGGAUGGGACGUGCCGAAGCGAUGGAAGUCGACCCUUACUACAGCGUCCUUGCAGUAGAUCACUCUGGUGGUACAGUACCCAUGUGGAAGCCGACGAUUGGUGCUCCGAUCCCCUGGUGAAGAUGCUCUGCCAUCCCGGUCCAGUCUCUGCGCUGGCUAGCAUUCCACCCGAAUAUUGGCCAUCUAAUGGCGACAUCUAUCCGGAAGGGAGAAGAAAAUCGAGAUAUUCAGAUCGACGGUUGAUAUCGGAUUGUGGAAAAUAAUGUUGGAAGUGAUGUGGGGGCCGUAACAGCAACUAUUCGAGUAGUUGGCUAACCCGCUGUCACAUCUUGUUUUCAGUCGGUACAGCAAAAAAGGUAAUCUCAGUUAAUGUUUAAUUAGUUGUUUGCUAUUUUUUAUAAAGACGAUAAACUAUGGUUCGGUCAGCAUACUAAUUAAAGUUCAUUUGUCAAGUAGUCCAUCUCAGAGUUUCUGAAAUGCAUAUUCUAUGAUUUUUCGAUAAUCGUUGUUAUGUCAAUAUUAAAUUAAAUUGUACUUGGUUCAGUAGGACUAUAACUCUUAGUCCGCAAUAAAUGAUCUAGUCUCUGCAUCGUUGUUGCUGUUUAUGUCGAUGGAUAGGCUUGUGAAAGAAUUGACCUGCUUGUACUAGCUCUACUAGCCGUGAACUUUUAUUUGCAACUUCGAUGAAUUGAGUUAAACAGUCUCGUCCGUCUCUAUCAAAAUUCUAGUAUUUUUCCCCUCGCUGCCUUUUUUAUCUUCCUGAACUUUUAUUUCCUCCGUCUCAUCCUAUGUAAUAUAAGAUAGGUACCAUAUUCUUAUUUACAAUUCAAUAAAUGUCCAUGAUGAUUUUGUCC